GGACUAUCACAAUUUCAAGGCUAGCCAGGAGUACACAGUGAAUUUGAGACCAGCCUCAGCUGGAGGGCAAGAUCCUGUCUUGAAACAAAACCUAAACCAAAUCAGCGCAAACCUGUUUCCUUCCUAUGGGACUCCUACAAAGUCUCCAUAACUUUUGCUGGGGCCUCCUGCCUGGUUCCCUCUACAUCAGGCAACGUCAACACCCUAGUGCAGUAGGAAGGGACCUAGCUGCAGAUACUUAAGAAGAAUACGGUUAGACCCUGUGCCAGUUUCUGUCUAAGGCAAGGGACAUGGAGCUCGGGACGGGAGGUCUAAAAGGUGCUCCCUGCCUUCCAAGAGGCAGAAAUGGCAUGAAACUCGAAAAGGACACUGGGAUAUUGGGAGCAUGCUCUGUACUCAGGGAAGGAUCUUAAACACGGGAGGGUCAUGGAGAGGAAUCAGGAGAGCAAGUGAAGGAGGCAGGAAGGGAGCGAGGAGAAAAGAGCUCUGGGGUCCAGUUUAACCAAAAACAGGGUACAGAGAACAUAGGCUGAAAGUGGUACCCGUGUUGACCUCCCAUCCCUGAAAUUAUAUAAGAUGAAACGGAGUGAUGCUUACAUACAGGAAAGCCUCCAGUGAAGGAAAGGGGCUUCUUACCCCUGUCUAACGAGGGAAGGAUGUACUGGCUGGGUCUGCCUCUCUACUGUCUUGACCCUCGAAUCACACUAAAGACAAGAGCCUAGAAGACACCAUCAGAAUCUAGACUCAACAUGACGUACACCCGUGCUACUCAGCAUGCUAGCAUGGGUCCCACAUAUUAUGUACAGUAAUGGUUCCCAGGACCCGACUUCUGGGCUACUAAUGACCCGAUCCCUGAAGCCUGCUGGUCUUGGUGACUGUGCCAAGUACCUCAAAGGAAUUCUUCUAACUCAGAGAGGCUAGACCCAGGCAGGGCAGGCAGCCAGAACCAGCAGCUGAAUAGGGAAUGGGAUGAGAGUUCUGCUGUUGCUCACCAUUGCCUCCAGUUCUCCACUCUAGGGAAAUCUGGUCCUAAAUGGGGGCACUUCGCAAGAACGGCCUAGUGGCCUGCCAGCUGUGUGACCUUUGGCAGCAGCAAGUUAGGACCUGGGAGGUGCAGCCUAUGUGCAACCAACAACAAUGAGUCCUCUCCUUGUAUAUCUGCCAUCUUUGCACUUCUGUGCUGCUGAGUGUUGAGCAAUGAAGGGAACCUCCACCACCCACCGGGGGAAAAAUGUUUUUUUUUUUUCUCUAAAUGGAAGAAGUCAUGCUAACCAAUGAGCUGUUCCAGCUUGCACAGCAAACACGCUUGCUAAGCGAAUGCUUAUCUGAUGGCAGACUUGUGUCGGGGUAAACAGAAUUAAUAUCUCUGGGAUCUGUUUACACUGGCGAGAGCCCACUCUGAGGGACGUGGACAGAGUAACUGCAUCAGGGCGCAGUGCUCUCUCCUGUCAAGCAACAGCUAACUGGUGUGCAAACUCAGGGAAAGCAGGGUGGUGGGCAGGAGAGCACAGUUGAGUGUGUGGCAGGCGCCUGCCCAUCCUAGGGCAGCAGAGCUUGUUUGCACAGGACACUUAUUCUCGCCACAGUGCACAUCCAGGAUGGUCUGAAUUUUUCAAGCUAGAACUGUGUGCUGCUGUUUCCUGGGUGCGCAGCGCUGGCUAUGGUAUAUCAUGUAGCAACGGUGGAGGCACAGAGAUAGGGAGGUAGGGUUACUGAGUAGUCUUGAUCAUGAAGAUGGACUAGGAACAGCCAGGGCAUCCCAGAAAGGAGAUUCAGGGAUGAUCCAUUAAAUGCUCUCUCGCCUGUUCUCUCUUCUUCCAAUCCCAAUUACUUAAAGAGCUCUCCUACCAUAGCAUCUUCCUUCCACUUGCUAUUAGAACACAACUGUAAGAUAAAUGCCCCCAGAUGUAUUAUCUGCUCUCAUUUGGAAACAUGCUGUGGCUAAAAGCCAGCCCCACCCCCACCCCUCAUAAGUAGAUCUCUCAUAAAAUUAGUUAAUUAUCUCUCCCAUUUAGGUGACAGGCAUAAUAAGGAAAUGAAAGCGCUUGCCACAUGUCUUCAUAUAACAGGCUUGCCGCCUCCUCCUCCUCUUCUUCUUCCUCCUCCUCCUCUUCUUCUUUUUAAUAGACAGCCUUCAGGUUUGUAGAGCGAGGCUCAGGAGGAAGAAGUUCCAUCUUCUUGGAAUUAUGAGAAGGUUUAUUUAGCAUCAUGUCUUCCCAGGGCUUUGAAGAACGUGAACUGCGUUCGCUUCAGUUCAAUUUAACCAACAUAUGGAUCUCCUUCUGGCUCGAGAGGGCCCACGCCUGCCCCUCUUUUGCUGGGUCUAUCUUCCCAGGUACAGGAACUAGAACUUGGUACACAUGAAUACAGUGUCACUCCAUGCUACUUCUCUGAGAGGAGUGAAAAUGCCCGAACCCAACCUGACCUCACUUGCCAGUUCUCUCAGCCAACAGUUGCUCUUUCUGCCUGAAUUCUUUGGAUUUGUGCACGGAAACAUCCCCAUUUCCCCUGGGGCAUGCUAAUGGCUCUGAAACUUGGUUGUUGGCUUGACGUUAUUACCACUAAAUAUGAAAACAUAGCAACAAGGGUGGGGGGAUCAUCAAUGCUGGCAGAAGAAUUCAAUCCUGAUGCUACUAUACACUUACCUUUCCAAUAGGAAGCAUUUGAAAGCAAAACAAAAAACCCCAUGGCUUUUAUGCCAACCUCUACAGGGAGGCCUUAUAACAACACUGGUAAUUAAACUCUAUCUAUAAUAUCCAAAUCAUAUGUACUGAUUAAUAGGAAACAGAACCUAAAGGAGGAAUGGUAGGUUCUUUACAGAAUCCCAGACCUUCUUCAAACAAGAAACUGUAUCAGUAAUGGCCAACAGAACUUUUAAUUAUCCUGAGGUGAGUCCAGCCUGUGGCAUUGGGUCACUAUUCCCUUUGCAGCCUGACAGCUCAUUAGUGUCCUGUUCCAUGGAGCCUUUUACAAUUAACAUCACUGUGGACACAUAUUCCCUCUACAUGUAGAUCUCAACAGAAAAAAAAAAAUAAUGUUUUUGAUGUGUUGCUGUUUUUUUAGCAAGGAAGCCUGUAUGUGUGCCUUUUGGGUACGUGCAGCAUAGAAGAGUUGUUGGAAUCACAAGGGACAACCAGUUCUGGUUGCUUUACCUCUCUAUUAUCUUUACAAAGGACUUUCUCAUAUGCUAUGAAGCAUCAACCCUGAAAAUGUCUACGCUCUUCCUGAAAACAAACACCAGUGUUUGCAAACCCUGCCAAUACCUAGCCUGGUGACCACGAGUGUCCACUUAUUCUUAUUGUUUAUUUACUUAUGCAUUGUUGGAGCAUGGGCCCAGGGACUCCUCCACACUAGUUGACACUGUACCACACUACUACACUUCAGCUUUUAUUUAUUUAUUUUUAUUUAGAUUGAGCCUCUCUUUCACUAAGUUUCCCACACUGGCCUUGAACUUGCAAUCCUCCUGCCUCAGAUGAGACUACAAAACUGAAUAUCCUAGAUUUGGACAUUGACAAACUAAUAUCUCUGAAAGUGUGUUCCAGGAGACAUCGCUUCCUCCAGAUAUGGACAGGUACCCUCUAGAGGAAGCCUCCAGGGCCUGAGGAGACGCUCAGUGGGUAAAUCGUGUGAGGGCCAGAGCUUGAUCUUCAGCACCUAUGGAAUUCUGGGUAGGCAUGGAGAACUGUGUAUAGCUCUCAAACUUGCAAAGAGGCAGGGUCUUCCUCAGAGCAAGCUGGCUAAUGACUAGCUGAAUCAGAGAGCUUUGCCUUUCAGCGGGAGACCUUACCUCAAGAGAUAAGGGAGAAAGCAACAAGGAAGAUACCCAACUUCAACUUCUUUCCCACACAAAACAGUGUACCCCGCAACACACAAAUUCAUGCAGAUGCACAUGCAUGCACACCAUUCACACAAAAUGAGCAUUAGGUUAACUGUUUUAGGCUAUCAAAUGACUACCUCAGAGACUUUCGUAUGUUGUGAAUGUCCAAAUAAACAAUGCAUUAGAGUUUCCCCACAAGCUUUUGCCUGGAGAACCCUGUCUUUUUGAGACUCAUGUCACAUAAGCAUUCCUGGAACACUCCUGCUGCCCUCAGUGACUUCUGCUGAAGCAAAGCUGGCGGCAGCAGAUCAGACAGGAAUAAGGAAACUGGGUGUCUACACCGGCACCCAAAAGCCAGGCUUCCAACGCACCACCUUCUCAUCUGUUUCCUGUACCCCACCCCCACCCCAAGACAUGAAUCUGUCAUGAAGAUGACCUGGACCAUCACAACCAGUGGCUUUAGUGUUAUAAACAGGAUGGGUCCUGCCACUGAGUGUGUGUGCUAUGGGUGUGUGUGUAGCGAUGUGCAGACAAGGAUUGUGACCUGGGCCACAGCACAGAUACACCAGGACCGUUUCCUCUGGUAACGACUGUUGGACAGCUUGGUGGCCAUUUCCUCAAGAGUGUAUCCCACUACGGCCAUUUCCAUUCUUGCCUUUAUGUCAACAAAGCCCACACCUGGGAAAUGCUCAUCCUGGCAACUCUCUCUGGCCCCAGACAUGCAGGGUCACCGACUACCACAGAGAUGUUGCCCUGGGGACAGGGCCUGGCCGGAGUCCUCACCUCAGUGCAUUUGGAACAGACUCAUCAUGUACUCCCUGACCCCCGUCCCCCCACCCCCAAGGCUUUCCCUUCUUCCUUUGCUUUGUGACCAUCUUCCUCACAUCUUGGGUAUUACCAUUGCUGUUUCUCUCUCCUGCACCCCUCCAUUCCUAAGUCACUCCAUGCUGGAUCCCCACCGUGCUUACCGCCCCUUCGCAUCUCCAGGCCCAGCACCCAGCAGUGCCAUUGUUUUCCAAUGUCCCACUGCUCACUUGAUUCAUCCCUCAGCCUCCUCCUGAUCCUUCUACCUCCUUGUACUGUCUGGUUGUGUGUGUCAACUUGCACAGACUGGAGUUAUCACAGAGAAAGGAGUUUCAGUUGGGAAAGUGCCUCCAUGAAAUCCAGCUGUAAGGCAUUUUCUCAAUUAGCAAUCAAGGGUGGGAGGGCCUCUUGUGGGUGGUGCCAUCCCUGGCCUGGUAGUCCUGGGUUCUAUAAGAGAGCAAGCUGAGCAAUCCAGGGGAAGCAAGACAGUAAAGAACAUCCCUCCAUGGCCUCUGCAUCAGCUCCUGCUUCCUGACCUGCUUGAGUUCCAGUCCUGACUUCCUUGGUGAUGAACAACAACAUGGAAGUAUAAGCUGAAUAAAGCCUUUCCUCCCCAACUUGCUUCUUGGUCAUGAUGUUUGUGCAGGAAUAGAAACCCUGUCUAAGAGACUCCUGUUUCACCUUGGAAGAACCCUUUGAAGAUUCAGAACUCUAUGUGAGUCUCCUAGCACAACUCCCCUUCACCUCUAGACCACAGCUUAGCCUUCUCUGCUUGGCUUCCAAAGCCCUCUACUCCUCCUUGCCCACCUCUCCUUCUCCAGCUCUAGACUCCAGACGUGGCAUCUCCUUUCAGACUUGUCCUUCCCACACAGACCUGUUUACUCUUCCUCCCACUGCCUUCUCCUCACAACUACAUACCUGCGUCUCACCUACCCUCAUCCCCAGGCUAGAUCUGGUGUCCUCAUCUCAUUCCCAUUCUUCUGUGGUAUGUUUGACGUCAUGGGAUACCUACCCCUCAUGGCCUACUGAAUUACAUGGUGCACAACAGAUGUUCAGUAAAUAUUAGCUAAAUGGAAGUACGAUUUUCUGCCAUUCUUCCAGGAGUAUUGUUGGAUCAACAAAUUCAGUGGCUCUGUUCCCAAUAUGCAGAGGGAUACCAGGCAGGGACUGUCAAUCACUGCAGAUUCUGUGAACUGCAAUUCCUGGUUGUCACCUACUUAAUGCAGUGGAUCCCAUGCAGCCCUUAUAUGGUUUUUGGUUGUCUUAGUGUCAGAGCCUGAGGGCUAGUCCUGUGUCAGGCAGUGAGAACUUGAAGCCCUGCCUGCACAGUUGCUACCCAGGACAGGGACUGCAGACCCCACACUUGACGCUUUCUAGUCUUAUCCCAGUGUCCUCUUUGUUUUCACUUCCCCUUGUGACUGACUGUCCCAUCUUUUCUAUACUCUCAUCAUCUUGGAUAAAUCAAAGUUUAAAUCAUUGUACCAUGAGAUCAGAUCUGUCCUCUCUCCAGCUCAGUGAGCUUUCCUGAGGCCCCUCUGUGACUCCUCCUCCAAACUGCCUAAAACUGCUCUCUCAAAAGCCACCACCACCACCAUCACCAUGACCACCAGCAGCAGCAGCAGAGCUCUGAUGAACACGUAGUAAUAUGUCCCUUUGUCACUUGAAUCUACAAUAACUUCAUACAAUAACAGUAGGAAGCAGAUCCUACUAUGUCUCAAAUUUCCUAGACCCAAAGACACAGAGGUAGAGACUCCCCAGAUUAGUCCACAGCACACAGCUGGAGUCACAAAGACAGGUCUGUGGAGGACCCCACUUCACAGGGGCUUUCAAGUCACCUCCCCAGGCUUCUGGCUGUCCCUCCACCACAGAUGCCUGUGACUUCAGGCAUGAAGAUGGGUGGGCUAGUGCUUGCCCUCCUGGCACUCGGAGUAGCCCAUGACUCUAGAUGAACACUUGAAGGCAGACUGAAUGGAUGUUUAAAGUCGGUGACUGCGGAGCAAGUAUGAAGCAAGGCUGGACAUACCCAAGGUGAGAGGGUGUGCUUCACUUUACCCUGUCCGCUUAGUAACAAUGACGUAAUCACCAGUAGAGGACAGAUAACUGUGGUUAGAACCUCAUCUAAGUUCCAGACUGGAAAGAAGCUUGCAAAACCCCAGCUAACUUCUCUAAAUAAGAUCUGCUCUGGCUGAGCAUGUGCCGUCGCAAUACAGUUGAUUGCCUUAUCCAUUAGCUAUUGGAGAAACAACAUGAUCAGUUAACUUGAAUUAUCCCCUAUGUAGCUCCUCUUCCUCACAGCUUCAUCUCCAAGCCCCUGACACCUUGAACUAUCACAUCAUAUAAUAUCUUUAGGUAGGAAAAAAAUGUAUAGAAACCUAUUGUUUUUCAAGGUUGAAACACUGAAUUUUUACAUGGAAAGCUUGUUCCAAUUAUAGUAAUUACCAUGUGAGGGUAUUGGGAAGUUGAGUGGGUAAUCCCAGUAUGGCACACCCUGAUGAGUGUCCGCUAUUUUCUUAUCAUUUGUGUGCCCUUUCCUGAGGAGGUCUGGGGAGCCCUGGCUGUGACUGGGGCAGGCCAGUGGCUCAUCAUCUCCUCUUAAGAGGGCAGGGAUGACGGUGAGGAAUACUGAAUGGUGAGCUGUGUUGAUUUGGAACUGGGCCACAGUGGCUUCCCCAUUAGAUGGGAUGUGCCCUUGAGAAGCAUCCACUUAACCAUCCUCCUGUGAGCACUUGCAGGCGAGCAGAGGAGAUGCUGGAGAAGACACUGAAAUCCCUACACCAGACUCCUGAUAAAGCAGCAAGAGAGGACACAAUACCGUCAAUGGUGGCUUCUCUUUGGGAAGCCCAUACUAUUUUAGAUACAAAAUGAACUCCUCACAUUCUGAACAAUGCCAAGGAUCACCAAUUUAAAAAAUAUAGUCCCACAUUAAAUGACAAUCAUAGUGUUAUUCUUUAAAAUAUAUCAUUUCCCCUCUUCUCUUUAUUCCCAUCGACCUCUCUUAUCACCCCCGCCCCCCCCCCACCUAAAUUCAUGGCCUUUUUUUUUCCCCUUUAAUGGCUGUUGUUAUAUGCAUGGAAUCCUCUGAGUUACAUAUUCUUAUAGGCGGGCAUUAUGUCCCUCCAACGAAAAGUCCUCACAUCGGGCCUGAGAAGAGAACUUGACGGGGAAAUGCUGGUCUUGCAAGCAUGAGGAGCCUGAGUUUCCAUCCUCAGAAACACACACACACACACACACACACACACACACACACACACACAAUGCCAGCUAUGGUAUCAUAAUCCCAGCGCUAGAAGAGAAGCAGAUCAUCAGUGCUUGCUGGCCAGCCAGCAGAUCUGACAAGCUGCAGACCAGUGAGAGAACACAUCUUUUUUUUUUUUUUUUUUAAUGGCUUAUACUUGAGGAAUGACACGAGGUUGGCAUGUAAACACUCACCUAUCCACUCACACACACCCCCACACCCCCCCACACACACAUACCACACACACAAACACAUACACACACACACACCACACAGACACACACACACACACACACCAUGCAUACACACAUAAGUCAACAUCUGCAUGCUGUAGUGAGAUCCUGUGUAAAAGAAAGUUCAUAUGCCAGUCAAGGGGUGCACUUAGAGAAAGUGUUUAAAGCUUUGAUGAGACAAGUGCACAGCAUGAUGAAAAGACUCUGAUGUUUCUCUUCCACAUUUCUCUUUCUCCAUAAUACAACCUAUUGUGGGGUAAAACGAUGUCUUUCUGUGGGGCACCAAACAGAAGAGUAAGUAUGGUCUUCGAGUGUCUGGUUCCCAUCCUUUGGAGCGAUGGCUAGGGACCACUUGAAUGGCAGGUCUCCAAAGGAAGUGGGGACCGACAGGAAGUGGGGAGAUGAGUCAACAGGAGGGGUCCUUCCUCUGACUCAGUUGAGGCUCCGUGUAACUACAGAGUGGGCACUGGUCUCCCAAAGCCAAAACAAAAUUAAGAUCUGAAACCAAGAUGUAGCUCACAAAGGAGCCUUUUCAGGAAGUGGGCUUGGGAUGCGGGCUGAAGCUGAGCCACGGGUGUGGCUCGUGCUUGCCCUCUAACUCAGAGCCUGCUACUCCAACUUCUGUGCCACAACAGCUUCUAAGUCUCUAAGGGAAAGAGCAGCCAGAUGUGAAUUUCACGGGGAAGGGGUUUCUAUGAUGAAAGCACGCCAUCCUUAACUUAUUAAAGGCUGAGCAUCAGUGACGAGCACAGACAGGCACGGGAACACUAAGGUAGAACUAACUCACAUGCAGUCAAGUGCAGAGCUCGAGGUGACGGGGCUGACGGCGCUAACCGUGAGCACCAAACUCUGCCACUUAACACAUUAUUUCUGGAAUCUGGGAUUUUGUUUUUCCCCCUCCAACUCUAAAAACAAGACAGACAAAAACCCUUCACGUUUCAUCGUUACUUUCCUCUCAGGAGCUUCUAACGUGUUACUUCGGGAUGAGCAUUAGUCUCCAGAUUUAAAUUUAAUUUUCUACAGGAGAGAAAAUAAAAAACGAACAAACUCAGGAUGAACUAAAACCUUUCAGAUUGUCCCCAUGCUGUGUUCUGCCUGUUCUUCACCUGCCCCACUGGGAAGAACGCCGCAUUCAUAAAACUGUAGAUUCAAUACUAUCAUUUCCAUGGUGACAGAAGGCCACUUCACAGAGAAUUAUGAUUUCAUCAGGGCACCUGGAGGUGAAGAAAGUAGGCGGGGAACAAAUGGACUAUAAAGAGCGAACGAUAAAUCAUGUUUGUGUAAGGACAGGCCACGACCUCUCCGAUGGAGCCUACGCAGCCUUCCAAAUGAGCUCGCUCCCAUGCCCCAAGCUUCAAGAAUUACAUUCUGAUACUUUACUAUGGCUGGUCUAAAGACAACAAGGAAAAGAAUGACAGCAUUGUGGCCCACUAGAGGUUGAAUGUCACCCGCAUCAAGGCUGAAUGUCAAGGCUGACUAUUCCAUAACACUACUCAUGGUCCCUGCCCGUUCCUUCUUCCCUUCUUUAUUCUGGUAGAUAGUUUUAGUGAUGUGAUCAUGAAAAUAUUGUUUGGUUGAACAUAUUUGCCUAUAAAAUAUAUGCAAAUAGCCUCACAAAGCUUGAAAAUCAGUAAGGGAAAACAAAUUUUUGUUUAAUGUUUCCUUGAAGUAAAAUGAGAAUUCAAA